rnacentral:rRNA from 1 species
AUUGAACGCUGGCGGAAUGCUUUACACAUGCAAGUCGAGCGGCAGCGCGGGGCAACCUGGCGGCGAGCGGCGAACGGGUGAGUAACAUAUCGGAACGUACCCAGUCGUGGGGGAUAACUAUCCGAAAGGAUAGCUAAUACCGCAUACGACCUGAGGGUGAAAGCGGGGGACCGAAAGGCCUCGCGCGAUUGGAGCGGCCGAUAUCGGAUUAGCUAGUUGGUGAGGUAAAGGCUCACCAAGGCGACGAUCCGUAGCUGGUCUGAGAGGACGACCAGCCACACUGGAACUGAGACACGGUCCAGACUCCUACGGGAGGCAGCAGUGGGGAAUUUUGGACAAUGGGGGGCAACCCUGAUCCGACGCUAC